GUUAAAGUAGAAAGCGAAGUAUUGCUUUCCGUUUCGGCCGGGAGUUUGGUAAAAUUACCUCUAUUU
rnacentral:tRNA from 1 species